ensembl:snRNA U2 U2 spliceosomal RNA
CCAACUCGGUAAACUAAAGUAGUCAAAAUGGCCGCUGUUCUUAUUAGUUUAAUAUCUGAUACGUCCCCAAGCGGGGGACUACAUAUUAAGCGGAUUUUUAGAACAGGGAGUCGGCAAAGGGGCUUGCUCCACGCAUCGACCCAGUAUUGCGGUGCCUCCUGGAGCGGUGCACUUCCU